GAUGAACGCUGGCGGCGUGCCUAAUACAUGCAAGUCGAGCGAACGGACGAGAAGCUUGCUUCUCUGAUGUUAGCGGCGGACGGGUGAGUAACACGUGGAUAACCUACCUAUAAGACUGGGAUAACUUCGGGAAACCGGAACUAAUACCGGAUGAUAUUUUGAACCGCAUGGUUCAAAAGUGAAAGACGGUCUUGCUGUCACUUAUAGAUGGAUCCGCGCUGCAUUAGCUAGUUGGUAAGGUAACGGCUUACCAAGGCAACGAUGCAUAGCCGACCUGAGAGGGUGAUCGGCCACACUGGAACUGAGACACGGUCCAGACUCCUACGGGAGGCAGCAGUAGGGAAUCUUCCGCAAUGGGCGAAAGCCUGACGGAGCAACGCCGCGUGAGUGAUGAAGGUCUUCGGAUCGUAAAACUCUGUUAUUAGGGAAGAACAUAUGUGUAAGUAACUGUGCACAUCUUGACGGUACCUAAUCAGAAGGCCACGGCUAACUACGUG
rnacentral:rRNA from 1 species